rnacentral:rRNA from 1 species
AGCUCCAAUAGCGUAUAUUAAAGUUGUUGCAGUUAAAAAGCUCGUAGUUGGAUUUCUGGUUGUGGGUACCUGGACUGAUUGCGGCAAUUUGUCCGUAGUCAGGUUCCGGCGUUAGCCCCAAUCAUCCUUCCAUGUGCUUUGGUCUACCCUUAACUGGGUCGGGCUUUGAAGCCAUGGAUCGUUUACUUUGAACAAAUUAGAGUGUUCCAAGCAGGCAAUUUCGCUUUGAAUACAUUAGCAUGGAAUAAUAAGAUAGGACUCUUGCUUCUAUUUUGUUGGCUCCGAACAAGAGUAAUGAUUGAUAGGGACAGUUGGGGGUGCUCGUAUUGAACGGCCAGAGGUGAAAUUCUUGGAUUCGUUCAAGACGAACUACUGCGAAAGCAUUCGCCAAGGAUGUCUU